UCAGGACGAACGCUGGCGGCGUGCCUAACACAUGCAAGUCGAGCGAGGAGAUCCUCGGGAUGAUCCUAGCGGCGGACGGGUGAGUAACACGUGGGCAACCUGCCUCAUAGAGAGGAAUAGCCUUCCGAAAGGGAGAUUAAUACCUCAUAACAUUGCAGUUUCGCAUGGAACAGCAAUUAAAGGAGUAAUCCGCUAUGAGAUGGGCCCGCGGCGCAUUAGCUAGUUGGUGAGGUAACGGCUCACCAAGGCGACGAUGCGUAGCCGACCUGAGAGGGUGAUCGGCCACAUUGGGACUGAGACACGGCCCAGACUCCUACGGGAGGCAGCAGUGGGGAAUAUUGCACAAUGGGGGAAACCCUGAUGCAAGCAACGCCGCGUGAGUGAUGACGGCCUUCGGGUUGUAAAGCUCUGUCUUCAGGGACGAUAAUGACGGUACCCGAGGAGGAAGCCACGGCUAACUACGUGCCAGCAGCAGC
rnacentral:rRNA from 1 species